rnacentral:misc_RNA from 1 species
GAAACAAUGGGACUGCCUUAGUGACUGUCGUUACCACUGCAUGCUUGCCAGAGAGAAAGAACGGAAGAAAGCUGGUCUUAAGCCUGUCAAGUAUCAUGGAAAAUGGCCUUUUCAGCGUGCCAACGGAAUCCAGGAACCUGUUUCUGUAGCUCUUUCCGCUCUUAACCUUGCCAUGCAAUUCCAUGGAUGGGUAUCCUUUUUCAUUUUUGUGAAUUACAAGCUGCCAUUUAGGCCAAACAGAAAGCCAUUUUAUGAAUACACUGGCUUGUGGCA